UUGGAGGGCAAGUCUGGUGCCAGCAGCCGCGGUAAUUCCAGCUCCAACAGCGUAUAUUAAAGUUGUUGCAGUUAAAAAGCUCGUAGUUGAACUUCGGGGUUUACCCAUUGGUCAGGCUUAAUUGUCUGCACUGGUGAGAUGGAUCUCUACCUUCUGAGGAACUUUCAUGCCAUUCAUUUGGUGUGAUGGGAAAUCAGGACUGUUACUUUGAAAAAAUUAGAGUGUUUAAAGCAGACUAUCGUCUGAAUACAUUAGCAUGGAAUAAUGAAAUAGGACGGACUGAUUCUAUUUCGUUGGUUUCUAGGAUCACCGUAAUGAUUAAUAGGGAUAGUUGGGGGCAUUAGUAUUCAAUUGUCAGAGGUGAAAUUCUUGGAUUUAUUGAAGACUAACUACUGCGAAAGCAUUUGCCAAGGAUGUUUUCAUUAAUCAAGAACGAAAGUUAGGGGAUCGAAGACGAUCAGAUACCGUCGUAGUCUUAACCAUAAACUAUGCCGACUAGGGAUCGGACGAAGUUAAUUUUAUAAUGACGCGUUCGGCGCCUUACGGGAAAC
rnacentral:rRNA from 1 species